rnacentral:rRNA from 1 species
ACGAGCGCAACCCUCGCCUUAGUUGCCAGCAUUCAGUUGGGCGACUCUAGAGGGACUGCCGGUGUCAAACCGGAGGAAGGUGGGGAUGACGUCAAGUCCUCAUGGCCUUUAUGUCUAGGGCUACACACGUACUACAAUGGCCGGUACAAAGGGCAGCCACUCAGCGAUGAGGCGCUAAUCCCAUAAAGCCGGUCUCAGUCCGGAUCGCAGUCUGCAACUGACUGCGUGAAGUUGGAAUCGCUAGUAAUCGUAGAUCAGCAUGCUACGGUGAAUACGUUCCCGGGCCUU